UGAAGAUAUCUCUCAACUUUUGCCACAUUUCAUCAUUUUGCUUAGAUAAAAAAUCAGGCUUAGAAGGGUUUUGGUAUGUUUGUGGAGUUAGAGGACGACUCUGAAGAGUUAGGGUGUUCCACUGUGGUUAAUAUGGGGGUUGAACAUGUGGCUGUGCAUGAUAUGCUGGAUACAGAGGUGGAGGAGCAGAGUAUAAUGGAUUUUGGGAGUGAUUAUGUGGAGCUUGGGCAUGAACUUGGGUUUGAGCCUGAGAGUGACGAAAAUGGGAUCUUCUUGACCGUUUCCGCUGUCCAACUAUAAUAGAACAUGCAAAUUCCUCAUUUUUUGUCUCCCCAACACUUCUUGAACCCUUUUGAAUUGCUUGAGUUAUCACUUUCAAUGUUGCAAAACUCAUAAUGCGACCAGUCUUAAUUCCCUCUUCUAUC
rnacentral:lncRNA from 1 species